rnacentral:lncRNA from 1 species
GCCCCAAAGGGGGGCUUCUGGGCUACAUUCUCUCAGCAGCAAGAACAAGUUUCUUCAACACUAGAGCUGGCACCUGUCAGUCUGACAAAACAUUGUUCUUCCUGCACCAUUCACACCUGUCCUUCCCGUGGACGGAUGCUUCCCAUCUUGACCGACUUAUUCAACACAUUUCCAUGGCCAGGCAUCAGUUGACCAGAGCAACUCCUUCCACCAAUAAAACACUGAGUGCUUUGACUGAGCCUUAUCUGUCUAGCUGGUCAGCCUCCUUGGAUCACAAGGAAGAAACCUGUACAAAUUAUGUACAAAAGCCAAGUUUGCUUUAAGGAUGCACAUGAGGUAAACUUGAAAUGACCUCAUCAUCAGUGCAUGCUUCUAAGAUGAAUGCACAAUGAAUAAACAGCCUUCAUAUAUAAUAGCAAAUAAUUAACAUGUGUACUGAGCAGUUAAUUCCUUCCAGGCACUGUGCUAAGUUGUAAUUUGUUCAGGCUGCUAGAACAAAAAUACCAUAGACUGAGUGGCUUAAACAACAAACAUUUAGUUCCCACAGUUCUAGAGGCUGAGAAUUCCAAGAUCAGUGAGCUGGCAGGUCACCAUCGGAUAAUAACCUGCCUGGCAGGUUUUAAAAGGCAAUUUUUCUAUAUCCUCAUGUGGCAGAAGAAGGAAGGGAGCUUCCUGGGGUAUCUUUCAUAAGGCGCUAAUCCUGUUCAUGAGAGCUUCACCCUCAUGACCUAAGCCCCUCUCAAAGGCCACACCCCCUAAUCCCAUCCCAUCAGGUGUUAUGAUUUAAUAUAUGAAUUUGGGUGGGAGGGGACCAACAGUCUACAGCCCCAUCCUAAGCACCAGCCCUUUAAUCUUCAUAAAACAUGCUCCGAGAUUGGUCUUGCUGGUGAUCCCCACUGUAUGAGGAAACUAAGAUUUGAGGUGGUUUAAAUAAAAGUCAGAAAGAGAAAGACAAAUACCAGAUAUAAUAUACACCAUAAAGGAACCUGUCUACAAAAGAGAAACAAACUCAUGGACCUGAAGAACAGACUUGUUGUUGCCCAGGGGGAGGGAGUGGGAUGGACUUGGGAGUUUGGGGUUAGCAGGUGCAAACGUUUGCAUUUGGUAUGGAUAAGCAAUGAGGUCCUGCUGUAUAGCACAGGGAACUAUAUCCAAUCCCUUGAUGGAGGACAGUACAGAAAAAAAGAAUGUAUGUAAAAGCAUACCUGGAGUUCCCAUUGUGACUCAGCGAGGGUGAACCUGACUAGUAUCCAUGAGAGUACAGGUUCGAUCCCUGGCCUUGCUCAGUGGGUUAAGGAUCCGGGUUGCUGUGGGCUGUGGUGUAUACUGGCAGCUGCAGCUGUGAUUGGACCCCUACCUGGGAACCUCCAUAUGCUGCUGAAGCAGCCCUAAAAAGAGAAAAUAGACUAGACUAGACUAGAAAAGUCUAGAAUAGUCUAGAAUGGAAUGGAAUAGAAUAGGAUAGGAUAAUAAACUUUCCAACAGAAUGGGACUGAAAAGUCUCUAGUUUCAUGGUCCUGAGCAGGGCGCAUUAUCUCUUUGACGCUCAGUUUCCACAUCUCUCUAAUGGGCGCAGUGAAUACUCGCAAGCGUGAGGUUCAGCUGGAAUAAGAGGUGAAAUUGCCUCGCUCAGUGCUUGGCAAGUGGCAGGUGACCAGUUGCAUUUCUGAGAUUCUUUCCUCAAUGCAGAGGAAACAGCCCUCCCCUGUGCCCUGGCUCUAAUCACCGUUCCCCUGGGUUACGGUUUAUCAGCAGGGCUCAGAAACCAUUGCUCAUGUAGGCACCGUUUAUUCCACUGGAAAAUGCAUUUGGGAAAAUGUGAGGUGCCCGCGUACCUCUGAUUCAGGCCAGCCAAAGGCAAGCUCAGCUGCUGACCCUCCCAGAGAUCACAGGCUCUUUCUAUCUAAUGUUGCCCUCUUCUCGGCGUUCUGAUCGUGUCCAUUUGCUUCCACUGAGGAGGCUGGGGAGAGAGAGAGAGAUCACACAGUGAAUGAUGGAGCUUGAUCCGGCCAGAAUUUCUGGGGAUUCUGGCCCAGGUUUCUAUAGCUCCCAGGGGUUAGUCAGUGACAGCCCAUCUUUACGACAAACGCAAUGAGUCUCAUUUUCUGAUUUAGUUUUGACACCUACCCGCAGAGUGAACUUGAGCUACUUAGGCAACCUUGCUGAGCCUCUGUGCUUUGGUUAAGCAUUGUCAGGCAGUGACUAAGAGCUUGGGCUAAGGGGCAGGGCAGACCUGAGAUUGAAUUUCAGUUCCACCUCUUCUGACUUUGGACUAAUGAAUCUAUUCCACUGAGCCUCAGUUUCUUGACCUCUAAAGUGGGGAGAGGAGGUCCCAUCAUAGCUCAGUGGUAGAGAACCACUAGUAUCCAUGAGGAUGUAGGUUUGAUCCCUGGCCUUGAUCAGUGGGUUGGGGAUCUGUCAUUGCCAUGAGCUGUGGUGUAGGCUGCAGUUGAGGCUCAGAUCCUGCAUUGUUGUGGCUGUGGUGUAGGCUGGCAGCUUCAGCUCUGAUUUGACCCUUAGCUUGGGAGCUUCUAUAUGCUGCAGGUACAGCCCUAAAAAUCCAAAAAAAAAAAAAAAAAAAAGUAGGGAGAAUAGUCGUACCUUUUUUCUCCCCCUUCAGGGUACAGCAGCUUGAUGUGGGAUCUCAGUUCUCAGGCCAGGGUUUGAACCUCAGCCCCAGCAGUGAGAGUGCCAAAUCCUAACCACUAGACCACCAGGGAACUCCCAGUCGUACCUCUUUAAGAAAGUUGUUUUAAAAAUUCACAACUAGAGUUCCUGUUGUGGCUCAAUGGGUUAAGAACCCGACUAGCAUCCAUGAGGAUGCAGGUUCAAUCCCUGGCCUUGCUCAUUGGGUUAAGGCUCUGGUGUUUCGAGAUUGCAGCUGUGGCUCAGAUUUGGUGUUUCUGAGGCUGCGGCAAAGGCUGGCAGCUGCAGCUCUGAUUUGACCCUUAGCCUGAAAAUGUCCUUAUUCGAAGAGCGUGGCCCUAAAAAAAAAAAAAAAAAAAAAAAA